CCCUUAGAUGUUCUGGGCCGCACGCGCGCUACACUGAUGCAUUCAACGAGCCUAUCCUUGACCGACAGGUCCGGGUAAUCUUUGAAUCUGCAUCGUGACGGGGAUAGAUUAUUGCAAUUAUUAAUCUUCAACGAGGAAUGCCUAGUAGGCGCAAGUCAACAGCUUGCGUCGAUUACGUCCCUGCCCUUUGUACACACCGCCCGUCGCUCCUACCGAUUGGGUGUGCUGGUGAAAUGUUCGGAUCGGCCGUUUGUCGCGGUUUCCGCGGCUCGUGGCUGAGAAGUUCAUUAAACCCUCCCACCUAGAGGAAGGAGAAGUCGUAACA
rnacentral:rRNA from 1 species